rnacentral:rRNA from 1 species
GUGGGGAAUAUUGGACAAUGGGCGCAAGCCUGAUCCAGCCAUGCCGCGUGAGUGAUGAAGGCCUUAGGGUUGUAAAGCUCUUUUGUCCGGGAAGAUAAUGACUGUACCGGAAGAAUAAGCCCCGGCUAACUUCGUGCCAGCAGCCGCGGUAAUACGAAGGGGGCCAGCGUUGUUCGGAAUCCCUGGGCGUAAAGCGCACGUAGGCGGACCAUUAAGUCAGGGGUGAAAGCCUGGAGCUCAACUCCAGAACUGCCUUUGAUACUGAUGGUCUCCAGUAUGGAAGAGGUUGGUGGAACUGCGAGUGUAGAGGUGAAAUUCGUAGAUAUUCGCAAGAACACCGGUGGCGAAGGCGGCCAACUGGUCCAUUACUGACGCUGAGGUGCGAAAGCGUGGGGAGCAAACAGGAUUAGAUACCCGUGUAGUCC